CCUGAAAAGAAAGCGUCAAAGCUCACUCAACAUAACACCUUUUAAUCAGUAUAACUAACUCUAAACCCAUAAUUAAUACUGAGCUGUUCUAUAUUUUUAUAGAAGCACUUAUGCUAGAACUAGUAAUGUGAAUACACAAUUCUCCAAAAUGUAGGUGUAAAUCAGAUCGAAUAAAUCACUGAUACUUAACGUCCCCUUUGAGAUCAUUGCAACAACAAAACAAGAAAACUAUGCACCAAACACCGUUAAUCUAACACAAGAACAUUUCAGGAAAGAUUAAAAGACGCAGAAGGAACUCGGCAAAUUAUGAACCCCGCCUGUUUACCAAAAACAUCGCCUCUUGCCAAUAACCAUGUAUAAGAGGUCCAGCCUGCCCAGUGACUAUAUGUUCAACGGCCGCGGUAUUCUGACCGUGCAAAGGUAGCGUAAUCACUUGUCUUUUAAAUAAAGACUGGUAUGAACGGCACCACGAAGGUUCAACUGUCUCCUGCAUCCAAUCCAUUAAACUGACCUCCCCGUGCAGAGGCGGGGAUUUUACCAUAAGACGAGAAGACCCUAUGGAGCUUUAAACUAAAGGCAACUGCCAAACCAUUUCACCCACAAGGAUAAACCAUUAAACAAGCAGAAAUUGACCUAAAGUUUUCGGUUGGGGCGACCAUGGAGAAUAAAAAAUCCUCCUUGAAGAAUAGGGCUUACAACCCUUAACUAAGAACCACUAUUCUAAGUAACAAAAUUUAUGACUGCAAUUGAUCCAGUCUUACUGAUCAACGAACCAAGUUACCCUAGGGAUAACAGCGCAAUCCAUUUCAAAAGUUCCUAUCGACAAAUGGGUUUACGACCUCGAUGUUGGAU
rnacentral:rRNA from 1 species